GAUGAACGCUAGCUACAGGCUUAACACAUGCAAGUCGAGGGACCGGCGCACGGGUGAGUAACACGUAUCCAACCUGCCCUUUACUCGGGGAUAGCCUUCCGAAAGAAAGAUUAAUACCUGAUAUAAAGGACGGGGAUGCGUUCCAUUAGGUUGUUGGUGAGGUAACGGCACACCAAGCCUUCGAUGGAUAGGGGUUCUGAGAGGAAGGUCACUGACAUUGGAACUGAGACACGGUCCAAACUCCUACGGGAGGCAGGAGUGAGGAAUAUUGGGCAGUGGGCGCGAGCCUGAACCAGCCAAGUAGCGUGAAGGAUGAAUGCUUAUGGGUCGUAAACUUCUUUUAUAUAAGAAUAUGUAUUAUAUGAAUAAGGAUCGGCUAACUCCGUGCCAGCCGCCGCGGUAAAAC
rnacentral:rRNA from 1 species